GACGAACGCUGGCGGCGUGCUUAACACAUGCAAGUCGAGCGGUAAGGCCCUUCGGGGUACACGAGCGGCGAACGAGUGAGUAACACGUGGGUGACCUGCCUCUAGCUCUGGGAUAAGCCUGGGAAACUGGGUCUAAUACCGGAUAUGACUCCACGGCGCAUGUUGUGGGGUGGAAAGCCUUGUGUGGCUAGAGAUGGGCCCGCGGCCUAUCAGCUUGUUGGUGGGGNGAUGGCCUACCAAGGCGACGACGGGUAGCCGGCCUGAGAGGGCGACCGGCCACACUGGGACUGAGACACGGCCCAGACUCCUACGGGAGGCAGCAGUGGGGAAUCUUGCGCAAUGGGCGUAAGCCUGACGCAGCGACGCCGCGUGAGGGAUGACGGCCUCGG
rnacentral:rRNA from 1 species